AACGAACGCUGGCGGCAUGCCUAACACAUGCAAGUCGAACGAACCCUUCGGGGUUAGUGGCGCACGGGUGCGUAACGCGUGGGAAUCUGCCCUUUGCUUCGGAAUAACUCAGGGAAACUUGUGCUAAUACCGGAUGAUGUCUUCGGACCAAAGAUUUAUCGGCAAGGGAUGAGCCCGCGUAGGAUUAGGUAGUUGGUGGGGUAAAGGCCUACCAAGCCGACGAUCCUUAGCUGGUCUGAGAGGAUGAUCAGCCACACUGGGACUGAGACACGGCCCAGACUCCUACGGGAGGCAGCAGUGGGGAAUAUUGGACAAUGGGCGCAAGCAUGAUCCAGCAAGGCCGCGUGAGUGAUGAAGGCCCUCGGGUCGUAAAGCUCUUUUACCAGGGAUGAUAAUGACAGUACCUGGAGAAUAAGCUCCGGCUAACUCCGUG
rnacentral:rRNA from 1 species